rnacentral:rRNA from 1 species
UACGUAGGUGGCAAGCGUUAUCCGGAAUUAUUGGGCGUAAAGCGCGCGUAGGCGGUUUUUUAAGUCUGAUGUGAAAGCCCACGGCUCAACCGUGGAGGGUCAUUGGAAACUGAAAAACUUGAGUGCAGAAGAGGAAAGUGGAAUUCCAUGUGUAGCGGUGAAAUGCGCAGAGAUAUGGAGGAACACCAGUGGCGAAGGCGACUUUCUGGUCUGUAACUGACGCUGAUGUGCGAAAGCGUGGGGAUCAAACAGGAUUAGAUACCCUGGUAGUCCACGCCGUAAACGAUGAGUGCUAAGUGUUAGGGGGUUUCCGCCCCUUAGUGCUGCAGCUAACGCAUUAAGCACUCCGCCUGGGGAGUACGGCCGCAAGGCUUAAACUCAAAGGAAUUGACGGGGACCCGCACAAGCGGUGGAGCAUGUGGUUUAAUUCGAAGCAACGCGAAGAACCUUACCAAAUCUUGACAUCCUUUGACCGCUCUAGAGAUAGAGUUUUCCCCUUCGGGGGACAAAAUGACAGGUGGUGCAUGGUUGUCGUCAGCUCGUGUCGUGAGAUGUUGGGUUAAGUCCCGCAACGAGCGCAACCCUUAAGCUUAGUUGCCAUCAUUCAGUUGGGCACUCUAAGCUGACUGCCGGUGACAAACCGGAGGAAGGUGGGGAUGACGUCAAAUCAUCAUGCCCCUUAUGAUUUGGGCUACACACGUGCUACAAUGGACAAUACAAAGGGCAGCGAAACCGCGAGGUCAAGCAAAUCCCAUAAAGUUGUUCUCAGUUCGGAUUGUAGUCUGCAACUCGACUACAUGAAGCUGGAAUCGCUAGUAAUCGUAGAUCAGCAUGCUACGGUGAAUACGUUCCCGGGCU